GAUGAACGCUGGCGGCGUGCCUAAUACAUGCAAGUCGAGCGAACAGACGAGGAGCUUGCUCCUCUGACGUUAGCGGCGGACGGGUGAGUAACACGUGGAUAACCUACCUAUAAGACUGGGAUAACUUCGGGAAACCGGAGCUAAUACCGGAUAAUAUAUUGAACCGCAUGGUUCAAUAGUGAAAGACGGUUUUGCUGUCACUUAUAGAUGGAUCCGCGCCGCAUUAGCUAGUUGGUAAGGUAACGGCUUACCAAGGCGACGAUGCGUAGCCGACCUGAGAGGGUGAUCGGCCACACUGGAACUGAGACACGGUCCAGACUCCGACGGGAGGCAGCAGUAGGGAAUCUUCCGCAAUGGGCGAAAGCCUGACGGAGCAACGCAGCGUGAGUGAUGAAGGUCUUCGGAUCGUAAAACUCUGUUAUUAGGGAAGAACAAAUGUGUAAGUAACUAUGCACGUCUUGACGGUACCUAAUCAGAAAGCCACGGCUAACUACGU
rnacentral:rRNA from 1 species